CCCUGGUAUUUUUAAAGUUGGGUCAUCUACGUUAUUAAUUAUCUUGGUUUUACACAUCAUGCUUAGUCUUAUCUUUAAAUGUGGCUUAAAAUGUUGUUCUAAAACCACUCCCUUUCUCAGCAUUAAGCAGUCAAAAGAUCAACACCAAGAUUCCUCAUGAUUGAUGAACCAAUAAUAGAAAGGGGGGACUAAAACCAGCCCAAUUUUCCAAUAGAACUAAUGUUCAAGAUUUUUUGAAUAAAUAUAGAAAUUGACUCUCCCCAUCAUAAAGCUUGAAACUUACAUUUGUCUUAUGUGAGUUCCUUUGUCAGGAAACUAACCUUCAGGCCUCCCAGAUAGUAUCAAGGACCUGAAACUCACCAGACAAUAGCAUCUAGACAGUGAGACACUAAACCACUCGUCCCCUAUGAUUGCCUAACCAAUGAUCUGCUUCCUGUUAACCAAUUCCUUUUCCUUACUCCUCCCUAAUUCCUGUUUUCCCUUAUGUAGCUACAUUCCUUACCCACUACAUAAAUCCCUAUUUUUAGUGGGUUAGGGGGACAGAUUUGAGACUUAUCUCCCAUCUCCUGGCUGAUACCACCCACCUUAAAGCCUUCUUCCCUGGCAAUAUUUGUCGUCUCAAUGACUGGCUUUCUUCACAGCAAGCAACUGGACCUUGACCAAACCCCUGUUGUUUGGCAACAAUACUAGUUUCCUAAUGUCUUUCUAUAAAGAUGAAGUUGAAAAGAUAAAAUUGAAUAUAGAUUUUAAUAUUGUAUUCUCUCCAAAUAAACAAACAAAUACUCUAAGAAGUAUUAGUGAGCUGCUAAUGGAGCUCACUAAUAAAUAAACAAAUACUCUAAGAAGUAUUAGUGAGCUGCUAUAAAUUAAAAAAACAAGAUUUAAGCAAGUUACUCAAUCAUACUCAACUUCAGUUUUUUUCUAUUUAAAAUGGGUGUAACCAAGUUUAGGAUGAGUGGGAAAACAUGUAAAGCCCUCAAAAUAUGCUCCUUCUAACAUUCCACUUAUUUCUGCUGAAGCAGGACAUUUUCCUGACCCAUUCAUGGGACUCACUGCAGUGUUGCCUCAUUUACCCAGCCCGCAGCUUUCAACUCCUUGUGGGAGAGAGCGUGUGAGAGAAAGAGGCAGGAACUGGAGUCCAUGAGUGCUGGAACCAGCUGGCUGCUUCUGCACUGGCAGGAGUUACCUCCACUUACUCAGACCCGCUGCACUCCACCCCUCACAGGAGGCAGCAUGCAGGUGAGCGGUUACAGGAGCCAGGGCAAGUGCUUUGCGCACCAGCAGAAGCAAACUCCAUGCAGGCCCCAUGGCAGCCUCAAGGGGGCUGCCUUUGACGCCUGAAGCCCCAGAAGGUGUGUUACAGUGUUCUUUUAGCUCUGGCAUCCAAGGACAGCUGAAGUGUUAACAGCUCAGUGGGUCCUCUGCCUUUUCGCAUGAGGUGGCUGCCCUCCAUCAGCGAGGGCAAAGGGCCAGUGUGAUAGCCUUUUGCAUCCACACUUGUGGCUCUCAAGCUCUUGUCCAGUGUUCAGGAAAAAUGAGGUUGCAUGAAUGAAUUGAAGGAUGGUAAAUGAAGGGGAUUUUAUUGCUGAUGAAAGUGGCUCUCAGUGGGAAGGGGAGUUGAAAAGGAGACAGGGCAGACACAUAAUCUUUCCCCAAAGUCUGACUGUCUUUGGCCAGAUUCUUCUCCAAAGUUACACUGUCAAGCUGUCCCUCUGAAGUCAAGUCACUUCUCUCUGAUAUCCAGCCCAACAUCCCACUGCUUCUCCUCUCUGCUGGCUGAGUCUGGGGUCUUUACAGGCAGAGGAUGGAGGGCAGGGUGGGCCAUGGGUGGUUUAGGAAAAGGCAAUAUUUGAAUGGGAAAACAAGGAUGUAGGUUCUCAUUUUGGGCCACAGUUUCAGGCCUUUGGCUUGAGGGUGGGGUUUUGUCAGGGACCUGCCUCUUCUGCCUAGAAUUACUCUGCCUCCUGUCCCUAUCACUGGUACAACCAGUGUGUAUGUACAAAAUAUUAUGAUGGAGAAAUACAAACCUUGA
rnacentral:lncRNA from 1 species